rnacentral:rRNA from 1 species
CCUACGGGAGGCAGCAGUGAGGAAUAUUGGUCAAUGGGCGUAAGCCUGAACCAGCCAAGUCGCGUGAGGGAUGAAGGUUCUAUGGAUCGUAACUCUCUUUUAUAAGGGAAUUAAUUGUGGGAUGUGACCUAUUUUGUCUGUACCUCAUGAAUACGGAUCGGCUAACUCCGCGCCAGCAGCCGCGGUAAUACGGAGGAUCUGAGCGUGAUCCGGAUUUAUUGGGUUUAAAGGGUGCGUAGGCGGCAUAUUAAGUCAGCGGUGAAAGCCUGUGGCUCAACCAUAGAAUUGCCGUUGAAACUGGGAGGCUUGGGUAUGUGUGAGGCAGGCGGAAUGCGUGGUGUAGCGGUGAAAUGCUUAGAGAUCACGCAGAACCCCGAUUGCGAAGGCGACCUGCCAGGCCAUGACUGACGCUGAUGCACGAAAGCGUGGGGAUCAAACAGGAUUAGAUACCCGAGUAGUC